GGGCGGUUAGCUCAGUUGGUUAGAGCGUCUCUUUGACGUAGAGAAGGUCACUGGUUCGAAUCCAGUAUCGCCCA
rnacentral:tRNA from 1 species